rnacentral:rRNA from 1 species
AACGAACGCUGGCGGCAGGCUUAACACAUGCAAGUCGAGCGGGCCCUUCGGGGUCAGCGGCAGACGGGUGAGUAACACGUGGGAACGUACCUUUUGGUUCGGAACAACUCCGGGAAACUGGAGCUAAUACCGGAUAAGCCCUUAGGGGGAAAGAUUUAUCGCCAAAAGAUCGGCCCGCGUCUGAUUCGCUGGUUGGUGGGGUAACGGCCCACCAAGGCGACGAUCAGUAGCUGGUCUGAGAGGAUGAUCAGCCACACUGGGACUGAGACACGGCCCAGACUCCUACGGGAGGCAGGAGUGGGGAAUAUUGGACAAUGGGCGCAAGCCUGAUCCAGCCAUGCCGCGUGAGUGAUGAAGGCCUUAGGGUUGUAAAGCUCUUUUGUCCGGGAAGAUAAUGACGGUACCGGAAGAAUAAGCCCCGGCUAACUUCGUG